UACAGAGGUCCCGAGCGUUGUUCGGAUUCAUUGGGCGUAAAGGGUGCGUAGGCGGGUCUUUAAGUCAGGGGGGAAAUCCUGGAGCUCAACUCCAGAACUGCCUUUGAUACUGAGGAUCUUGAGUUCGGGAGAGGUGAGUGGAACUGCGAGUGUAGAGGUGAAAUUCGUAGAUAUUCGCAAGAACACCAGUGGCGAAGGCGGCUCACUGGCCCGAUACUGACGCUGAGGCACGAAAGCCAGGGGAGCAAACGGG
rnacentral:rRNA from 1 species